UAUAACAAUUACUUUACAGUUUGGCAAACAGUUCAUUGGACUGAUAUGUUUGUGAGCUAUUUUCAAGUUCAUCACCCUAAAAAAAUUACACUGCUAUAGCUUUAGCUUUAUACGUUCCCCGUAAUUAUUAAAUUAUUUUUGUCGUUUCCAGACAAUUUGAUAAAAAUAUGAACAAUUUUUUGGUGAUUUCUAUAUUUUUAAUCGAAUUGGUUAGCAAAAAAAAACAAAAUAUGUUCAAUAUGUUUGGCACAUUCAUUUUCACUGCGUAGAAUAUUUUUGGCGUGUUUUUCAUCGCGCAUUGUCAAAAAAAAAACAAACAAAUCAACGAAAACAUUUUCUGCUGCUGCUGGUUCAUUUUUAUUAAAAUACACAUCUAAUUGAGCACCGGAUUCAAAAUCGAUGCUUACUUGUGAUGCGAGGCAUUGGAAAUUGCAGUUCUAGUCGCUUCCAUCAAGCCACGAAAAUGUUGAGAACACC